NNNNGCCCAACGUGGGGCUCGAGAAUGUGGAGGAUUGGUGAACGUUGCACAUCAAGGCNGGCCUGCCUAUCAGUUGGACCACCNUGGAGAACUCUCNGUGAGUGAAGGUCUGGUCAAGUAAUCGCCACGGGGACGCCCGACNGUGAGACAGAUCUGGAGAGUUGAUUUGUGCCUACACAAGGUAAGUUUACCGUGGGAUAAGCAUUUAGUAAGCAGGAUUUAUUUAUCUCAGGACUUAAACAGUCUCUCAAGACAUGAGGAACAAGGGUAGAAAAGAAAGAUUUUAAAAAGUUUCUUGAUUAUAUUGGGGACCUUUGUCCCU
rfam:Neotoma lepida isolate 417 scaffold_3907, whole genome shotgun sequence.